AGCGAACGCUGGCGGCAGGCCUAACACAUGCAAGUCGAACGAAGUCUUCGGACUUAGUGGCGGACGGGUGAGUAACACGUGGGAACGUGCCUUUAGGUUCGGAAUAACUCAGGGAAACUUGUGCUAAUACCGAAUGUGCCCUUCGGGGGAAAGAUUUAUCGCCUUUAGAGCGGCCCGCGUCUGAUUAGCUAGUUGGUGAGGUAAAGGCUCACCAAGGCUACGAUCAGUAGCUGGUCUGAGAGGAUGACCAGCCACAUUGGGACUGAGACACGGCCCAAGCUCCUACGGGGGGCAGCAGUGGGGAACCUUGCGCAAUGGGCGAAAGCCUGACGCAGCCAUGCCGCGUGGAUGAUGAAGGUCUUAGGAUUGUAAAAUCCUUUCACCGGUGAAGAUAAUGACUGUAGCCGGAGAAGAAGCCCCGGCUAACUUCGUGCCAGCCGCCGCGGUAAUAC
rnacentral:rRNA from 1 species